UACAGAGGUCCCGAGCGUUGUUCGGAUUCACUGGGCGUAAAGGGUGCGUAGGUGGUGAGGUAAGUCGGAUGUGAAAUCUCCAAGCUCAACUUGGAAAUGGCAUUGGAAACUACCUUGCUGGAGGUUUGGAGGGGGGACUGGAAUUCUCGGUGUAGCAGUGAAAUGCGUAGAUAUCGAGAGGAACACCAGUGGCGAAGGCGAGUCCCUGGACAAAACCUGACACCGAGGCACGAAAGCUAGGGGAGCAAACAGG
rnacentral:rRNA from 1 species